AUUGAACGCUGGCGGCAGGCUUAACACAUGCAAGUCGAGCGGAGAUGAGGUGCUUGCACCUUAUCUUAGCGGCGGACGGGUGAGUAAUGCUUAGGAAUCUGCCUAUUAGUGGGGGACAACAUUCCGAAAGGAAUGCUAAUACCGCAUACGCCCUAUGGGGGAAAGCAGGGGAUCUUCGGACCUUGCGCUAAUAGAUGAGCCUAAGUCGGAUUAGCUAGUUGGUGGGGUAAAGGCCUACCAAGGCGACGAUCUGUAGCGGGUCUGAGAGGAUGAUCCGCCACACUGGGACUGAGACACGGCCCAGACUCCUACAGGAGGCAGCAGUGGGGAAUAUUGGACAAUGGGCGGAAGCCUGAUCCAGCCAUGCCGCGUGUGUGAAGAAGGCCUUUUGGUUGUAAAGCACUUUAAGCGAGGAGGAGGCUACCUGGAUUAAUACUCUAGGAUAGUGGACGUUACUCGCAGAAUAAGCACCGGCUAACUCUGUGCCAGCCGCCGCGGUAA
rnacentral:rRNA from 1 species